UGUCUUUAAUGUAUAUGAGAAGCAGUUGUCGCUAUAGUGGAUUUCCCCAUUCUGUUCAUUGUAUACAGACUUAAAUAUAAUGCUUGACAAAGAGAAUAUCCCUGCUAAUUCAUUUGGACUGUGUAAUUGGGCAGGUGAACUCGCCACGGUAUGUGGAAUGUGACACCUGAUUCUGACGCACCCAAUACCUGACAUCAACUUGUCACUCACGAUCACCCUUUUUUUAAACUGAGUUUACAUGUUUAAUGAAACAUUUGCUUAUGGCAGUUGCUGACUUUUGAAAGAAUGGGGAAGUUUACUGCAUUUAUGAUGAACUUGGAUGUGGGCCAUAUACCUAAAACGGUAAGAACAGGGACGAGAAACACCACAGAGAUCACAAACAGGUCAAAGAGUAGAUGAAGAAAAAAAAAUAGAUAACUCCUAUCUUAAAAAAUCCAGCUUAGCAAUUCUCUUUUAUUCUCUCCGCAGAGGUGAAGGCACAGUGAAAGGUCAUGAAGUUUCAUAAGUUCCUAACGUGCCCUAAGAAUAAAGUCAAAUAAAAUAAGAGUGACAUGAAGGUUAUUAAUCAGGGGAAGCUACACUGGAACAAAUGGAUCUUCAGAUGCAGAUUAUAAAGAGAACAGGGUGAUUCAACAUUGAUCCAUUAACACACACACACCCAUGGACACAUCUGUGCCUGGCUAAAGGUAAUCACUGUGGAGGAUAAAGUAAGCUCAAGAGUAAUACUUUUUAUUAAUAAUGUU